CCUACGGGUGGCAGCAGUGGGGAAUAUUGGACAAUGGGGGGAACCCUGAUCCAGCCAUGCCGCGUGUGUGAAGAAGGCCCUCGGGUUGUAAAGCACUUUCAGUGAGGAAGAACGCCUGGUGGUUAAUACCCAUCAGGAAAGACAUCACUCACAGAAGAAGCACCGGCUAACUCCGUGCCAGCAGCCGCGGUAAUACGGAGGGUGCGAGCGUUAAUCGGAAUGUACUGGGCGUAAAGCGCGCGUAGGUGGCUUGAUAAGCCGGUUGUGAAAGCCCCGGGCUCAACCUGGGAACGGCAUCCGGAACUGUCAAGCUAGAGUGCAGGAGAGGAAGGUAGAAUUCCCGGUGUAGCGGUGAAAUGCGUAGAGAUCGGGAGGAAUACCAGUGGCGAAGGCGGCCUUCUGGACUGACACUGACACUGAGGUGCGAAAGCGUGGGUAGCAAACAGGAUUAGAUACCCGAGUAGUC
rnacentral:rRNA from 1 species